rnacentral:rRNA from 1 species
AACGAACGCUGGCGGCAUGCCUAACACAUGCAAGUCGAACGAGACCUUCGAGUCUAGUGGCGCACGGGUGCGUAACGCGUGGGAACCUGCCCUUAGGUUCGGAAUAACUCCCCGAAAGGGGUGCUAAUACCGGAUAAUGUCUUCGGACCAAAGAUUUAUCGCCUUUGGAUGGGCCCGCGUUGGAUUAGCUAGUUGGUAGGGUAAAAGCCUACCAAGGCGACGAUCCAUAGCUGGUCUGAGAGGAUGAUCAGCCACACUGGGACUGAGACACGGCCCAGACUCCUACGGGAGGCAGCAGUGGGGAAUAUUGGACAAUGGGCGAAAGCCUGAUCCAGCAAUGCCGCGUGAGUGAUGAAGGCCUUAGGGUUGUAAAGCUCUUUUACCCGGGAUGAUAAUGACAGUGCCGGGAGAAUAAGCUCCGGCUAACUCCGUG